rnacentral:misc_RNA from 1 species
UCCGUGUUCACCACGGCAGUCUCUCUAGAGAGCCCAACUGAAUGCUGGCAACUAGAGACAAGGGUUGCGCUCGUUGCGGGACUUAACCCAACAUGUCACCACACGAGCUGACGACAGCCAUGCAGCACCUGUCUUCCGGUCGUAUUGCUACGAACUCCCGAUCUCUCGGGAUAGCCGGAGAUGUCAAACCCAGGUAAGGUUCUUCGCGUUGCUUCGAAUUAAACCACAUGAUCCACCGCUUGUGCGGGCCCCCGUCAAUUCCUUUGAGUUUUAGUCUUGCGACCGUACUUCCCAGGCGGGGCACUUAUCGCGUUAGCUCAGACUCGGCAGGGGUCAAGACCCGCCAAAUCGAGUGCCCAUCGUUUACAGCGUGGACUAC